UACGUAGGUGACAAGCGUUGUCCGGAUUUACUGGGCGUAAAGAGCGCGCAGGCGGUCGUUCAAGUCGAGUGUGAAAGCCCCCGGCUCAACUGGGGAGGGUCACUCGAUACUGAUCGACUCGAAGGCAGGAGAGGGUAGUGGAAUUCCCGGUGUAGUGGUGAAAUGCGUAGAUAUCGGGAGGAACACCAGUGGCGAAGGCGACUACCUGGCCUGUUCUUGACGCUGAGGCGCGAAAGCGUGGGGAGCGAUCCGG
rnacentral:rRNA from 1 species